rnacentral:rRNA from 1 species
GACGAACGCUGGCGGCGUGCUUAACACAUGCAAGUCGAACGGAAAGGCCCGGCUCUUGCGGGGUGCUCGAGUGGCGAACGGGUGAGUAACACGUGAGUAACCUGCCCUUGACUGUGGGAUAACUUCAGGAAACUGGGGCGAAUACCGGAUAGGAGCUCCUGCUGCAUGGUGGGGGUUGGAAAGUUUCGGCGGUUGGGGAUGGACUCGCGGCUUAUCAGCUUGUUGGUGGGGUAGUGGCUUACCAAGGCUUUGACGGGUAGCCGGCCUGAGAGGGUGACCGGCCUCCUUGGGCCUGCGAUACGGCCCAGUCUCCUACGGGAGGCAGCGGUGGGGAAUAUUGCGCAGUGGGCGGAAGCCUGAUGCAGCAGCGCCGCGUUCGGGAUGCCGUCCUUCGGGUUGUAAACCGCUUUCGCCUGUGACGAGGCGUGAGUGACGGUAAUGAGUAAGGAAGCACCGGCUAACUACGUG